rnacentral:lncRNA from 1 species
UCCCUACUUACAUACUUUACUACAUUUGAUAAAAAGAGGGUUUAAUUUUGUGUGUUAACUUAUUUUACGCAUCAUUCCACCGUCCCAGUCACUAAUCUAAUUCUUCUCAAAUGAAUAUGUACUUGAGAAAUCUAAAAUUAAUAAAGAUUUUGGACACGUUCUCCACAGAGAAAUGUUAUUAGAUUUUCAAGCAAGGAUGGUAAAUGUUAACUCUAAGUCAUAGAUAAGAUGGCUUAAUCCAAAUAGUUCUACACAUUGGGAAUAUAAGUGAUACUCCAUCAUGUUGCCUCUACACAACUGAAACAUCAAAAAAUACGUCAUCAUGAAUCUCCAAAAGAUCAACGUCAUCGAAGAGUUUAAAGUGAUAGUGAAAUGAAACAACAGUUCAGUCGUCAUAAACUUUAUUCAUUUCCAACCUUCCAACUAAACUAACUUUCCUUAGCCAAAAGUGAGGAAGGAUAUUAUAGGCAAUUCACUAACAAAUUGUCGAUAAAAUCGGUAGGACCAAGGAUAUCUUGAAUUUACAACACUUUAUGAGAAUGUCAACUUUCUUCCGUUACAACCUUUUUGGGAAAAGAAAAUAUUCUCGUCCUUUGAGAUCAUGUCUCCCAAGAAGAGUAUCAAUUUAAUCAAAGUUUACAAUUGGGGAAUCUAAUAACUAGCUGACUAACAGAGCUUAAAGGAUUUGGUCUCACUAUCAAGGUAGAUAAGAAGAUCACCAAUAAGACCACUAUGAAUUCGUCAGACCAGGGAGGCAAAAUAGGAUUACAAAGGUUGGUUGACUAGUCCAUCAGUUCAAAGUAAGGUUUAAACCGAUCAAGUUGCUAAAAUCUAGAUACAAACCUAGGGUUCAGUCUUUCGCCAUCGCGAAUAGGUUAGAAAUUCCCUAGAUAAAGUGCUUGAUUGGGUAAUGAUAAGCUCAUAUUGAAGGAUGAUUAUGUGAAAACAUGUUCAUUUAAGCAACAUCAUAUAGCAUGCAAUUAA